rnacentral:rRNA from 1 species
UGAGGGAUAUUGGGCAAUGGGGGAAACCCUGACCCAGCAAUGCCGCGUGAGGGAAGACGGUUUUCGGAUUGUAAACCUCUGUCCUCUGUGAAGAUAGUGACGGUAACAGAGGAGGAAGCUCCGGCUAACUACGUGCCAGCAGCCGCGGUAAUACGUAGGGAGCAAGCGUUAUUCGGAAUCACUGGGCGUAAAGAGUACGUAGGCGGCAAGGUAAGUCUGAUGUGAAAUGCGGGAGCUUAACUUCCGAACGGCAUUGGAUACUGCUUUGCUAGAGCAAUGGAGGGGAAACCGGAAUUCUCGGUGUAGCAGUGAAAUGCGUAGAUAUCGAGAGGAACACUCGUGGCGAAGGCGGGUUUCUGGACAUUAGCUGACGCUGAGGUACGAAGGCCAGGGUAGCGAAAG